CAUUUAAAAAAUGGGGACCGGACCUAAACCUAGCCUACGGUUUGUAUGGAUGACUGCCUUUUAUAUUCAUGUUCACGGACUGGUCUUUCUGGUCCGUGGACGGAUGGAGUGUCCGGUUUGCAAAUCACCAUUGAAGAUGUGGUGUCCGAUGCGCGACCAACCACUGCAGCGCCACCCACCUGCACCUGCACUGCUGCGAUCCUUCCCUGUGCCCCAUCUUUGCUGCUGGGAGACUCCAAUCGCCGGCCCAUUCUCUCCUUCCCCGCCGGCUCUGCUGAUGAGCUGGUCUUUCUGCUUUGACCACACGAACUCGCCCCACCUCUAGCCGGCCUCCUUAUCCCGCCUCUGCUGCUGCUAGGUACGUACUCCUGCAAAAUUGGAAAUGUUAAUUUGGAAACAAUCAAUCAGGAAAUGGCAAGAUUUUGUUAAUUUUGAAAAGAUUCAAUCAUGUUAAUUAUGGAAACAUUCAAUCAGGAAAUGGCAAGAUUUUGUUAAUUUUGGAAACAUUCAAUCAUGUUAAUUUUGUACCAUUUUAACUUCAGAAACAUUCAAUUAGACAAGGAUUUUGGCAAUUGGAAUUAUUACGGCGUAGAUUAUGGACUCUCACCUAAUCAUCAUCUAUGGUCCUCUGGCUGAAUUGCACAGAUGCUUCAAGACAAGCCUCUACAAAAAAGCAAUAAGAGUUGAUUACUAUGUUUUGCAUAGUCACCAAAAUGUCACAAAAGGGAUAGGCUAGAGUUUAGACCUCCCAGCCUUUUGCAUGUUUUGUUGUUCAAGGGAUGCACCAGGAGAUAUGCAAUUUGCAUAGUCACCAAAAUGUCACAAAAGGGAUAGGCUAGAGUUCAGACCUCCCAGCCUUUUGCAUGUUUUGUUGUUCAAGGGAUGCACCAGGAGAUCUGCACCGGGAUACUCUAACGGGCUAUUGCAACUAAAAUAGACACGGUUAAAUUAAAAUGAGACUACCUUAUGUUAAAUGUCUAGUCCUCUAGUGAAAUUAACAGGAGUAUUUGUUUAGAUGGUAGAUUGAUUAAGUUAAAUGUCUACUCCUCUGGUGGAACAGUUUUGAGCCACUAACCGAAAAUGUUCAGGUUCUAAAAAUGUUUAGGUUUCAAUUUAUUUGGAUUAUUUGAAUUUAUUUGGAAUUAUUUUAAUUUAUUGAAAUUAUUUGAAUUUAUUUGCAUUAA